UUCAGUUGGAGCUGCAGGCGGGGAGAGUCAGCAGAGGUUUACUGACUGUGUGGAUUUUGUUCCUUCUUAUGCUGUUAGUGGUGUGCGUCCAUGAGACUUGGUCGCUCCAUGUCCUCGUCAGCUGUGAGAAACACCAUCACUUUGUUUCUCCUGCAGCUUCAUGUGGCAAGAAUCACAUUACAGAGAGUACACGUGAGCAGACGAGCCCACACAGAUCGCUGCUGCUUCCUGUCCGACUCUGCGCGUACGUGAUGUGUGGAGUGGAUCUCGGAGGCAGAUGGUGCUGCCAGUCCUUCUGUGACGCUUACACCGAGGACUCUGUGACUUCACCACACACCUCCAACCUGUCCUGACUGCAGGGCCCAGCCGUAAGAGCCUUUUUGCAUUUUUCAGGGUUUCAGAAGCAAGCUGAAGUUUGGAGGAUCCGAGUUUGGAAACGCUGGAGGAGAUCCAACGGCAUCACAGUGGUACAAGUACAGGAUGACAUCAGAGGACUUCUGCUGAGAAAUAACAGCCAUACUGAUCCACAGUUAGAUGAGAAGAUCCCAAAUAGGAGAUCAGCCAAUAAUGUGUCGCUUAUUUGAAAAAGGUUCCGAU
ensembl:lncRNA